AGUGAACGCUGGCGGUAGGCCUAACACAUGCAAGUCGAACGGCAGCACAGUAAGAGCUUGCUCUUACGGGUGGCGAGUGGCGGACGGGUGAGGAAUACAUCGGAAUCUACUUUUUCGUGGGGGAUAACGUAGGGAAACUUACGCUAAUACCGCAUACGACCUACGGGUGAAAGCAGGGGAUCUUCGGACCUUGCGCGAUUGAAUGAGCCGAUGUCGGAUUAGCUAGUUGGCGGGGUAAAGGCCCACCAAGGCGACGAUCCGUAGCUGGUCUGAGAGGAUGAUCAGCCACACUGGAACUGAGACACGGUCCAGACUCCUACGGGAGGCAGCAGUGGGGAAUAUUGGACAAUGGGCGCAAGCAUGAUCCAGCCAUACCGCGUGGGUGAAGAAGGCCUUCGGGUUGUAAAGCCCUUUUGUUGGGAAAGAAAAGCAGCAGGUUAAUACCCCGCUGUUCUGACGGUACCCAAAGAAUAAGCACCGGCUAACUUCGU
rnacentral:rRNA from 1 species